UUCUUGACAUAUUCAUCAGCACUGCGAGCCAAACACCAGCGGGUGCUCUGUGCUGUGGACGAACUGUGGACGAUGAUCUCCAAAACGUUCAUCAGAUCACACUGAAACUGAUCCAGAGUCUCGGACCUCCUGAAUCAGACACAAGUCGCACCGAGAAAGGAUCUGGGGAGCAAAAGAAAGAAAAGAAAGAUCCAUCAGCUCUGCACGUUGAAAGCGCAGAUUUUCAGGGAAGAUGUGACGUUCAACACGCACAACCCCACAACAAACAGCAGCACCGCCGUCUUCAUCUUGCAGACGAUUAUCACUCUUGCCUGUUUCACCAGGAGACUGACCUCCGCCCAGCUGGGAUCCAUCUCUUCAGUGAGCCGUGGUGUAUUUGGGGAACAUGCAGGUCUUCAACUUGCUCUCUGAAAGGAGGAUGCCACAGCCACAACAUGGCGACCCCCGCCACAGCGAGGAGAAGAAGGACGAACAUGCACACCUUCAACCAAGAGCAACGCCGCGUCUAAAUAAAGAGGGAAGAAAUGUCAAAGUUAUACGUCACAGAGGAAUCACAGUCGUUACUGCUGAUGUUGUAGCUGCAGCAAAAAGGAAGCAAAAUAAAUGGGUACAGAAAAUGUG